AACGAACGCUGGCGGCAGGCUUAACACAUGCAAGUCGAACGAGAUCUUCGGAUCUAGUGGCAGACGGGUGAGGAACACGUGGGAACAUCCCUUUCAGUUCGGAAUAACGUUGGGAAACUAACGCUAAUACCGGAUACGUCCUUCGGGAGAAAGAUUUAUCGCUGAAAGAUUGGCCCGCGUCUGAUUAGCUAGCUGGUGAGGUAACGGCUCACCAAGGCUACGAUCAGUAGCUGAUCUGAGAGGAUGAUCAGCCACAUUGGGACUGAGACACGGCCCAAACUCCUACGGGAGGCAGCAGUGGGGAAUAUUGGACAAUGGGCGCAAGCCUGAUCCAGCCAUGCCGCGUGAGUGAUGACGGCCUUCAGGUUGUAAAGCUCUUUUGUCCGGGAAGAUAAUGACUGUACCGGAAGAAUAAGCCCCGGCAAACUUCGUGCCAGCCGCCGCGGUA
rnacentral:rRNA from 1 species